rnacentral:rRNA from 1 species
GAGUUUGAUCCUGGCUCAGGAUGAACGCUGGCGGCGUGCCUAACACAUGCAAGUCGAGCGAUGAAAUUCAAAGGAUUUCUUCGGAAUGAAAGUGAAUGGAUUAGCGGCGGACGGGUGAGUAACGCGUGGGCAACCUGCCUUAUACCGGAGGAUAGCUCCUGGAAACGGUGGUAAUACUCUAUAAGCUUACGACAGGACAUCCUGAUGUAAGAAAAGUGAUUAGCGGUAUAAGAGGGCCCGCGUCUGAUUAGAUAGUUGGUGGGUAACGGCCUACCAAGUCGACGAUCAGUAGCCGACCUGAGAGGGUGAUCGGCCACAUUGGAACUGAGACACGGU